UUUUCAUUCUCUCUCUACUUUCUUUUGUUUUUUCCGGAUAAAAGACGUCAAAGCCAGAGGGAGUGCUUCGGGAGUCUUCUCUUCGAUUUUGCCUUCCUCUUCCUCCAUUCUUUUCCUUGCUUCGCCUCCACCACCAGUACGUGUGUGCUAAUCGUUCAUCCACAGCCAUUGUAGGUGUCAAGGCUAGUAGAUUCUUCUAUCUCUGUUCAACGCUGCAUCCUUGAAGAUCUUCUUCCCUUGUUUUAUUUAGUGCUGCCGCAAGCUGGUGCUGGUGGCUUCGAUCCCUUUUCGUUCUUCCGUCCACGUGUGCGCAUGGAUGUAGGAACUUAGUUCGUCACUACUGUGGGUUGCCACUUGAGUCAUCUUCCCUGUGCGCUGUUCUGCUCCUCUAAUCUCGGUUGCAUCGUUGCUGGUGCGUGGGGGCUGAUUCACCAAAGCUGAGGUACUGCUCAUAGCAUAAUUGAUGAUGUAUGUCUUACUUACCAAUGAUGGAUGUUUGCAGAAGAGAAUAGAGACAGGGAAAGAAACCUUGAGUUGCCGCAGAACUCAUAGAGCUUGCCUCGAUUGGAGAAGAUGAUAAGAGCAAUCUCAGCAUUACAGAGUACGGAGAGUCCGUAAGCCUUCUUGAGAAGCAAAUAAAGAGAUGUAUAAUUUAUAAAUAGAUGAAAAGAUGAAGGUCAAGUUGCUGAAAAGUGAGGAAGGAGGUUUAGACGAGAGCAAAUCGAGGAGAAUCUUCAUUAUACUAGAUUGACAACGCUGGUGUGCUAAGAGCUAGAACACGACGUCGAGGGACUGCACAGAGAUGGAAUGUGGCAAUGCUGUCUUCAGAUCUAAUUUCGCAACCAGUGGAGAACACCACUGGCAGAGCAACAAACAACAAGCAGAAACGACAAGUCGGAGGGCACGAUCGAAGAUGACUCACGGGAGGAACGACUCGUGGCUGCUGGGAGAAACUUGAGCAAAUGAGGAAUGAGAAAACCUAGAUUAAAAAGGACCUACGGGAGCUAUCAUUCAAAAAAAAUGCUCUCUCAGGCAAAAUAAAAAAAAAAAAAAAGAAAAAGUUAGGCCCUAUGGGAGCUUUUUGGGUUAGAAAAGCUCCCGUAGGUCUUCGCCCUACAGGAACGUUUUUAACCCAAAUUGUUCUUGUGGGAUUUAUAUUAUUCUUUAAAAUAUUUUCAGCAUUGACAGGAGUGUUUGUAAUUGUAAAAGCUCUCGAAAAUGUCAACAUGUCGGAGAGUUUUCAAUUGGAAACGCUCUAGUGUGCUCCGCCUUAUGUUUUGGGAACGUUUUAAAUUAAAAACGCUCCUGUAUAGGCCUCCUAUAUCACAUCUUACCCUCGCACGCACAGAUUUUUCAACGAAAAUAGGAAAUCAUGGUUCCUCAUCUCAAUAGAAACAGCAGGACAGAGAAGCAAAAGAAGAGGAAUGUCUGAAUUCCACGAUAGAACACAAACAGAAAAGAGAGAUGACGCAUCAGAAUUGGAAGGAGAAGAGGUAAAACCUGGUGCUCAAUCUGUCACAGCAACUCGAACAGAGGGAGGAGAGGAGAGGAGUUCACAGUAAAAAUAGGGGAGGAAGAAGCCCAAUGCAAACGCAUGCCACAACACUGUCAAAGGAGGAGGAUUUCAGCGUUUUCCUCCAGUCACCAGCGGCGGACGAAGAGAAACGAAGGUGAAGGGAGAAGAAGAACAUUGAACAUACUCGACCGCAUGGACGGAGAAGGUAGCGGACGCCGGCAUUCACCAUGGGAGAAGAACGAAAACUCAUGACUCAAGCUUCUUGCACGGCGGACUGUGGCAUACGCCCUAUUCACGCCGGAGGAACUAGAAUGGCGGAGGCGUGAUUGCUUGAAUGGAGCUCCCCUGUCUUCUCUAGAACUGAAUCGAAGAGGACGAGGGAAAAGUGAAGCCAUGUUUGGUAGGUUGGAAUUGUGAAGAUGAAAAUGAAAUUAGAAUAAGAAUCUGAACAAAGUGAUGUUUGGUAGAUAUGAAUUACAAUUCUUAAGAAUCCUGAUUCCAUGAAAAUAGGUAGAAUUGAAUUCCUUCUUUAAAGCUAUGAAAUCAGGAGCAAUUCUAUAGAAUUGUAAUAUUUAAGACACUUUUACCCUCAUACAAAUUUCAGAAAGACAAUUUUGCCCUCAA